rnacentral:lncRNA from 1 species
GACCCUUAUUUGUUGAAUCCAUUCUCCGGUACCCGGAUUCUGCGGAACUUUUCCGGACGUUGUGGGUCAUCACGGCGAUGGCUACAACGUAAUUUGAAGUGAUCACAAAGAUAUAUAGUGCCGUAGCACCGACGCGUUUCAUGACAAUCAAGGAAAUCAAAGAUUGUUUCUUCCACGAGUCCAUUCUGUCAGCGAGUCCCUACUUUCAGGAUAAUGACAAUGUAGCUGUAGCCAUCUACAAUGAUAGAUCAAAGUGGUUCAAUAUUUCAAGGCCAAGAACAUUAUUGUUACUGCUAUAUAGCGAUGUUAUUUGGGUAUCUCAAAAUGGUGCUAGUAAUGUUUAUGCAUUAUCACUAAGUCCCGGAACAGGAUGGUCGAUUCGAAGCAUGGGAUUUCAAGAAAUUACAGAAUGAUUAUAAUGUUCCCCCUCUAAAGAUAAU